rnacentral:rRNA from 1 species
GACGAACGCUGGCGGCGUGCUUAACACAUGCAAGUCGAACGGUGAAGCGCCUUCCUUUUUGGUGGGUGUGGAUGAGUGGCGAACGGGUGAGUACCACGUGAGUAACCUGCCCCCUUCUUCUGGAUAACCGCAUGAAAGUGUGGCUACUACGGGAUAUUCUGGGUCUGUCGCUUGAUGGGUCUGGGACAGAUAUUGUUUCGGUUGGGGAUGGGCUCGCGGCCUAUCAGCUUGUUGGUGGGGUGAUGGCCUACCAAGGCGGUGAGGAGUAGCCGGCCUGAGAGGGUGGACCGCACCAGAGGUGAGGAGAGACGGAGCAGACUACUACGGGAGGCAGUAGGGGAGAAUAUGGCACAAGGGGCGGAAGCAUGAAGCAGCGACGCCGCGGGAGGGAUGGAGUCCUGCGGGUUGUGAACUGCUUUUGCCAGUGAAGAAGGGUGGACUCGAUUGUGGGUGGGUUGACGGUAGCUGGAUAAGAAGCGCCGGCUAACUACGUG